GAAACAAAAAAAGCGGAUCAGAAUGCAUAAAAAUACAACCUCAUAAAAGAAAAAUGAUAUACGCCAUUACACUAGGGAAACUAAAUCACGGAAAAUGUUUGCGAAGGAAAUAUACAAAGAGUCACUGAUGGGAGAGCCUCGGGGAGAGCAGCAUAUUCUCUGGUCCAGACAUGGACAUGGACAAAAAUUCUACAUCACACAAAAAUUGCAUCAGAGGUUGCAAUUGCAAUUCAGUGAUAGAAAACUUUAAUAACUAUAAAAGAUGUGAAAUAAAAUACUAU